rnacentral:RNase_P_RNA from 1 species
GGAGCCGGACGGAAGGUCGCGAGGGUUUCCCUCGAGGAAAGUCCGGGCUCCUUGGGCCAGGGUGCUGGCUAACGGCCAGUCGGGGUGACUCGAAGGAAAGUGCCACAGAAAACAAACCGCCGGCUUCGGCCGGUAAGGGUGAAAAGGUGCGGUAAGAGCGCACCGCCCUCUCGGUGACGAGAGGGGCACGGUAAACCCCACCCGGAGCAAGACCGGUCGGGGAUCGCGGGGUGACCCGCCGGUGUGGCCCACACCGAUUCCAGAUCUCCAGUUGGUCGCUCGAGCCGCCCGGCAACGGACGGCCUAGAUGAAUGACCUUCUCCCGCGCCAGGCAACGAACGCGGGAACAGAACCCGGCUUAUAGUCCGGCUCCGACA